rnacentral:rRNA from 1 species
AGUGAACGCUGGCGGUAGGCCUAACACAUGCAAGUCGAACGGCAGCACAGUAAGAGCUUGCUCUUACGGGUGGCGAGUGGCGGACUGGUGAGGAAUACAUCGGAAUCUACUUUUUCGUUGGGUAUAACGUAGGGAAACUUACGCUAAUACCUCAUACGACCUACGGUUGAAAGCAUGGGAUCUUCGGACCUUGCUCGAUUUAAUGAGCCGAUGUCGGAUUAGCUAGUUGGCGGGGUAAAGGCCCACCAAGGCGACGAUCCGUAGCUGGUCUGAGAGGAUGAUAGGACAAACUGGAACUGAGAAACGGUCAAGAGUCCUACGGGAGGAAGCAGGGGGGAAGAUAGGAAAAUGGGCGCAAGCCUGAUCCAGCCAUACUGCGUGGGUGAAGAAGGCAUGCGGGGUGUAAAGCCGUAUUGUUGGGAAAGAAAAGAAGAAGGUUAAUACCCCGCUGUUAUGACGGUACCCAAAGAAUAAGCACCGGCUAACUUCGUG